CGCCCUCCUCGCUUCGCGG
rnacentral:misc_RNA from 1 species